GGGGUUGUGGCUCAGUUGUAGAGUGCUCACCUAGCAUGUGUGAGGCACUGGGUUCAAACCUCAGCAUCACGU
rfam:Ictidomys tridecemlineatus contig086170, whole genome shotgun sequence.